CCUACGGGGGGCUGCAGUGGGGAAUAUUGCACAAUGGGGGAAACCCUGAUGCAGCAACGCCGCGUGAGCGAUGAAGGCCUUCGGGUUGUAAAGCUCUGUCCUCAGGGAAGAAUACUGACGGUACUUUUGGUGGUAGCCCCGCCUACAUAAGUGCCAGCAGCCGCGGAAAUACGUGGGGGGAUAGUUUUAUCCGGAUUUACUGGGCGUAAAGGGUGCGUAGGCGGUUAUUAGAGUCAUGGGUGAAAGGCGGCGGCUCAACCGUAGUAUGCCGUUGAAACGGGAGGGCUUGAGUGCAGGAGAGGAGACUGGAAUUCCCAGUGUAGCGGUGAAAUGCGUAGAUAUUGGGAGGAACACCGAUGGCGAAGGCGGGUCUCUGGACUAUUACUGACGCUGAGGCACGAAAGCGUGGGGAGCGAACAGGAUUAGAUACCCGGGUAGUC
rnacentral:rRNA from 1 species